rnacentral:rRNA from 1 species
UACGUAGGGGGCAAGCGUUAUCCGGAUUUACUGGGUGUAAAGGGAGCGUAGACGGCGGGGCAAGUCUGGAGUGAAAGGCCGGGGCCCAACCCCGGGACCGCUCUGGAAACUGCCCGGCUGGAGUGCGGGAGAGGUAAGCGGAAUUUCUAGUGUAGCGGUGGAAUGCGUAGAUAUUAGGAAGAACACCGGAGGCGAAGGCGGCUUACUGGACUGUAACUGACGUUGAGGCUCGAAAGCGUGGGGAGCAAACAGG